GCCGAUGUGGCGGAAUUGGCAGACGCGCUAGACUCAAAAUCUAGUACCUUUACGGUGUGUGGGUUCGACCCCCUCCAUCGGUA
rnacentral:tRNA from 1 species